UAUCUUAUGGCCCAUGUGUUCCCCCCUGGUUGUGAGGUUUCUAUUGUAGGUUUUGUUUGGUGUACCCGAGCUCCUUCUAAAGUCAUAGUUUUCUCUUGGAUGCUUUUUCAGGGUCACAUCUAAACGAAAGUUAACUUGCAUAAGAGGGUGUCCCUCUUACCUCGGGGACUUUUUCCUAUCCCUUUUACUCUUUGCACAUUGAGUCUUCCUCUCAUC
rnacentral:lncRNA from 1 species